ensembl:lncRNA
GAUGACUUAACUCAUGAAUGGACUUACAUUUUGACCUUAAUUCUCUUUAUAGGAUGUUCUUUAUUACCACGUUUCUCAAGCUGUGGAUUUGACAAGCUGCAGAAUUUGAGUUCAUUUUAUUUUCGUUCAGAAAACAUAGGCACCUGGUUUUGGUAUGUAUAAAAAUCAGCAACAUGGAAACAAGCAUACCAAGCAAAGUUCAGAUGAGACAUGAAGGAGACGAAACCAGUCUUGGAGAUACCAGCCACCCAAGCCACCCAGGGAUUCUCUGUUUCCAUAUGUCAGGAUGAUGCAAAUAUUCCUGCUCAGGAUGGAUGCUCUCAGUGCUGACAUCAACCAACUCUUCGGUCACAAGUCAGAGAAAUCUCUCUCUAAAUGAGUGUGUCAUUUCUGUGGACAGUUUGACUUGAUGAAGGUAUGGCCCUGAGUGAUUUUGAGCAGCACGAAAGAAACAUAUCUGCAGGUUGUGGGACUUACCUUUGUGUGUUCUGCUUUUGCAUUUGGGACUUUCAUUAGUCCCACCCAAGAUUGUUUAGCUCCCCAACACACAAGGUCAUGUAGAUUUCAGGGAAAUGGACUAAUUUCCUGUACUUAAGUUAAAAAAAACCUACAUAAGUGGUUAAAGUUGAGCUUUCUAAUUUGUUAUAUUAAGUUAGAUAAAAUGUGUUGUAUUGGGAAUCUGAAAAUUUGUUUUUUGUUUGCAUGUCUUUGUCACAUAGAGAAAACAUUUUGCUUCUAUUCACUGCUUAUGUUAAUAACUGGAUAAUGGGGGAAGGCACCUGGAGGUACUUUAACUGGAUCUGAGUCCUGUUUUAACAAUGAGGAGUUGACAUCUGCGUCCAUACCUCAGACACAAUCUUCCCUAUAAUUUCAGUGCCAUUUCUGAUCCUUCCUCCAUCUGUAGGGGUCUCAGUUUUUUUGUUACGUGACCUAUUUUGAAGUUCACAAUAAGGUCAAGUAAUUUACGUUUUAAAAAUUCCAUUUAGAGCAAUUAAAUCCAAAAUAGGCACAAAAAGGAUAAUUUCCACACACAAGGAAUUAAUACAGAUGCUAUUUCUAUUUUCUUAAUCUAUCAGCUGUCCAAAAAUGGACUCUAUCAUUGUAGAAAGCAAACAUAUUUGGAUAUCAAUUAAUUAAAUUUUAAAAUCUUAAAAACAAAGGCAACAGACUUGAGAAAUAUAUAUGCUGUUUGAUGAGUUAAAAGUCAUUAGCUGAUGUAUCCAUGAAAAUUAUUUAAGUAUUAGCAGGACUGGGUGCAGGCUGGAUCAGUGAGAUUCAAAAAGAAGUUUUGUGCUUACCGGAUGGAGGGUGAUAACACAGUCGUGGUAUUUUAUCAGUGUGAAUGAAGUCCAAGGGAGAGGUGAGGGAUUCAUAAAUACAGAAUGAAAGAAGAGGAUUUGUUCUGUGGGGUGUAAGGAAGAAGAAAAAACUAAACAUGAUGUCCUGGGAGAGAGAGAAUUGUAGUGUAUUGCUUGAGAUAAAGGAGUUUGGAUGGUGUACAGGUUGUGGAGAGAUGAGCUGAAUCAUUGGUGGGAUAUUUAGGAAUCAUUCAUUAAGCUGUUGGAGAAGCAUCUGGACUUUGCAGAGAUGUCUAGGAGAUCAUCAUGGGCUUGAGUUGGAAGAUCCUGAGUUGAAAACAAUGAUUAUAGUUUUAGACGAGUCCUCCAAGGACGAGCUGUAGAAAGAAAAGCCACAUUCUGUGCACAUAAUCUUGGAAGAUUCUCACAGUAAUGCAGCAGGAGAAUUUAAAAUACGUAUCCAAGACUACAGACAAAAAUGUUAGAUGGGGAGAAAAUCAGGACAGAAGAGCAUCACAGAGUUGAGAGUGUGAAGGAACAAAUAGUUCAAUUAUUUAAACAAUAAAGAAGUAACGUAGAAUAAAUUCCA